rnacentral:rRNA from 1 species
GACGAACGCUGGCGGCGUGCUUAACACAUGCAAGUCGAGCGGAGCGGCGAACGGGUGAGUAACGCGUGAGUAACUGCCCCCCUCUCUGGGAUAACAGUUGGAAACGGCUGCUAAUACCGGAUAGUGGGGGAUGACUCGCGUCCUAUCAGCUUGUUGGUGGGGUAGUGGCAUACCAAGGCGACGACGGGUAGCCGGCCUGAGAGGGGGACCGGCCACAUUGGGCUGAGAUAGGGCCCAAAGGCCUACAGGGGGCAGCAGUGGGGAACAUUGCGCAGUGGGGGAAACCCUGAUGCAGCAGCGCCGCGUGCGGAAUGACGGCCUUCGGGUUGGAAACCGCUUGCAGCCAUGACGCGGUAGUGGCAGAAGAAGCACCGGCUAACUACGUGCCAGCCGCCGCGGUAAUAC